rnacentral:rRNA from 1 species
GAUGAACGCUGGCGGCGUGCCUAAUACAUGCAAGUCGAGCGAACAGACGAGGAGCUUGCUCCUCUGACGUUAGCGGCGGACGGGUGAGUAACACGUGGAUAACCUACCUAUAAGACUGGGAUAACUUCGGGAAACCGGAGCUAAUACCGGAUAAUAUAUUGAACCGCAUGGUUCAAUAGUGAAAGACGGUUUUGCUGUCACUUAUAGAUGGAUCCGCGCCGCCUUAGCUAGUUGGUAAGGUAACGGCUUACCAAGGCUACGAUGCGUAGCCGACCUGAGAGGGUGAUCGGCCACACUGGAACUGAGACACGGUCCAGACUCCUACGGGAGGCAGCAGUAGGGAAUCUUCCGCAAUGGGCGAAAGCCUGACGGAGCAACGCCGCGUGAGUGAUGAAGGUCUUCGGAUCGUAAAACUCUGUUAUUAGGGAAGAACAAAUGUGUAAGUAACUAUGCACGUCUUGACGGUACCUAAUCAGAAAGCCACGGCUAACUACGU